rnacentral:tRNA from 1 species
GGCCCUAUGGUCAAGCGGUGAAGACGGAACCCUCUCAAGGUUCAAUCCCGAGUUCGAUUCUCGGUAGGGUCACCA